rnacentral:rRNA from 1 species
GAUGAACGCUGGCGGCGUGCCUAAUACAUGCAAGUCGAGCGGACAGACGAUGAUCUUGCUGCUUGGACGUUAGCCGCGGACGUGUGAGUAACACGUGUAUAACCUACCUAUAAGACUGAUAUAACUUCGGGAAACCGGAUCUAAUACCAUAUAAUAUUUUGAACCGCAUUGUUCGAUAGUGAAAUACGGCGUUGCUGUCACUUAUAGAUGGAUCUCGGCUGGAUUAGCUAGUUGUUAAGGUAACGGCUUACCAAGGCAACGAGGCGUAACCGACGUGACAGGCGGAUAGCCCACAUUGGAACGGAGCCACGGUCCAGACUCCUAAGGGAGGCCGCAGUAGCGAACCGUCCGCAAUGGGCGAAAGCAUGACGGAGCAACGCGGAGCGAGUGAUGACGGCCCUCGGAUCGUAAAAACCUGUUAUUAGGGAAGAACCUCUGUGUCAUUAAAUGUGGCGUUAUUGACGGUACCUAAUCAGAAAGCAACGGCUAACUACGUG